CUCCUGCUCUGAAUUUGAGCCUGCAGUUGACAUUCUUUAACCAGAAAUCAUCCUUGAAAAGGGAAGAGACCAAGAAGUCUCUUCAGUUAUACAAAACCAUAUCAACCCCUAAAGAGGAGGUCAAAGAAUAAACACUACAAACUCCAUCAACGAAAUGGAAACCCUUACAACAACAACAACAACAACAACAACAAAACAAAAAAAACCCCAUAGUAAUAACUGGGUUUAUGCAAGACUCAUGGAGCAAUGAGAUUGGUGAACUCAACAAAUAGAGGAGGUUGAACCAUAAGAUGCAAUGAAUAUGAGGAAGAAGAGCAGAGAAAUUGUCGUAGAACCUGCAUCUGAUGAGCUGCUUUGCAUUGAUGGUGACUCAGCAGUGGAAGCAGCUGGUGUAGCUAGGGAACCUUUUGGCAUAGCUGGGGAACCAGCUGGCUCAGGCAGAGAUGUUACAAGUUAGUAGAGGACUAGAUUUUAAACAUUUUUAAUGUCACAUUUACAAGGCAUGGUUUUUUAUUUAUAUAUUUUUGUUAAGUGACGUGUUGAUGAAUAAUGAAUUUCCGUCUGAAUUCUUACAAUUGCAACGGCUUAUCGGUGGGGUCUGAACAUUGCAAGCUCUGGCAAGGGCCAGAGCCAGAGUUUGGUUGACAUUGAUCCCCAGAGAUCAUCCACCACCAUUAAGCAGCUGGCACAAGCACUGUGGUUGUGAGCGAACAACAUUAGCAAGCUGUGUGCAGCAUCCUGACUACGGUGUCGAAGAGUUCCCUGUAAUGCAGUUGAGGCAUGGUGACAUGCUAAUUAUUGCGUUCGUACAACUCGACGACGACUGAGCUGCUGCUCCUUCCCAGAGCAUGGUCACCAUCAUAGAACCACCAAUCCCAUCCCAAUCCUUUGACGUGCCAUUAGAAGUUCUUGGAUUGUUACCAGAAAUGAUAGUUGAAUGAGAUUUCUUGGUAAGUAAUCUUGAAGUUUUUAGUGUGAUAAGUAUUGUGGAAGGAGAGACACAGGAGUGUGGCUUAUAUAGGAAAUAUGGAAAGCAGUUAAAUGGAGAUUGUCCAGUGUGGGUGACUAAACUUCUAUAGCCAAUAACUUAGUUUUAAAGGGUAUUCAGAUGUUUGAAACUUGUUCUGUUGUUCGUUUAAGGGUUUAGGAGAAUAUUUGACAAGUGAUUAGUUUUGUGGGUGACCAACUUUCUCAAAUAUUUCCUAUAUUUUAAGGGGUUCAAAUUUGUAGACUUUCUGAAACUUCCUAAGAAUACAGACUCUUACUUUUUCUA